rnacentral:rRNA from 1 species
AGCAGCCGCCGCGGGAAUACGAAGGGUGCAAGCGUUACUCGGAAUUACUGGGCGUAAAGCGUGCGUAGGUGGUGGUUUAAAUCCGUUGUGAAAGCCCUGGCUCAACCUGGGAAUCGCAGUGGAUACUGGGUCACUAGAGUGUGGUAGAGGAUAGUGGAAUUUCCGGUGUAGCAGUGAAAUGCGUAGAGAUCGGAAGGAACAUCUGUGGCGAAGGCGACUAUCUGUGCCAACACUGACACUGAGGCACGAAAGCGUGGGGAGCAAACAGGAUUAGAUACCCCAGUAGUCCUGUCUCUUAUACAC